GACGAACGCUGGCGGCGUGCUUAACACAUGCAAGUCGAACGAAGUGGCGAACGGGUGAGUCACGCGUAAUCAACCUGCCCUUCAGAGGGGGACAACAGUUGGAAACGACUUCUAAUACCGCAUACUGAAGGAGGGUAUUGCGUUUGAUUAGCGAGUUGGAGGGGUAACGGCCCACCAAGGCGAUGAUCAGUAGCCGGUCUGAGAGGAGGAACGGCCACAUUGGGACGGAGAGACGGCCCAGACUCCUACGGGAGGCAGCAGGGGGGAAUCUUCCGCAAUGGACGAAAGUCUGACGGAGCAACGCCGCGUGAGUGAUGACGGCCUUCGGGUUGUAAAGAUCUGUUAAUCGGGACGCGGUACCGGAAGAGAAAGCCACGGCUAACUACGUGCCAGCAGCCGCGGUAAUUC
rnacentral:rRNA from 1 species